GGACGUUUUGCUUUGAAGUUCAAGGACAUGGAGAGGGAGUUCAAGAUGUAUGCGUACCCUGCAGAUGAAGUCCUCAACAAGUGCUAUCCCUGGGAUUACAUGAGUUACAGGGCGGGUAUGGAGGAAACAAAGAAUGGGACCUAAUGCGAAGGCGACUUCUUCUUCAAGAAUAUCAAGCAAAGUCGCUUCUUCACUACUGAUGACCCUCGCAAUGCUCACCUCUUCUUUGUUAUGCCCAUCUUUUUUAUUUCACAUAACAACACGUCUUCUUUGCACAAAUCUUGCCCCAUGCAUCAGCAUCAGCGAACAUCUCAAUACUCAAUGCAAUACCCGUAUCGGUAUUGGAAUCAAACACAAGCCAAUCAACACUUUUAUGUUACUACUUCCAGAAACGACGAUGCAAUACGAGUUGUUUGUAAAUCCAAAAUUGGAUCCAAUGAAAUCUUACUUCCGCCUCUUCACAUACCUAAAAGGGCAUCUUAUGAAGCCAAACUCAUUUUUAUAACCAAAAAGGAUGCAAUGUUUUGUGUAUGCUCUGGCCGAUCCCAAAUUACCACUGCUUGUAUAACUAAAUCAAUCUUGGAUGGAUGCAUACCAGGAUAAAAGCCUCUGAUUCCUUCACAUUGCAUUCCAACCUGCUUAAGGUACAAAAAAGCUUUAAAUGGAAUUCACCACCCAGCAGAUUUGAUGCUUUUCACAUGGCUAUUUUCGAGCUCUGGGAAUGCUACAAUCAAAAUUUAGAAGUAGAACUACUCGUGUCAGGGAAAAAAUAGAUUUGCAUUUCGAUUAAUGUUUUUGAGUAGCAUGUUA